CCUGCCGUCCCUCAGCUGUCCCACCCAGGGCUUGCUAUAUAGCAGGGGACAUGCAAAUAGGGCCCUCCCUGUGCUGAUGAAAACCAGCCCAGCCCUCACCCUGCAGUUCUGGGACAGGAGCCCCAGCCCCGGCAUUCCCAGGUGUCCCCAUUCGGUGAUCAGGACUGAACACAGAGACUCACCAUGGAGUCUGGGCUGCGCUGGGUUUUCCUUGUUGCUCUGUUACAAGGUGUCCAGUGUGAGGUGCAGCUGGUGGAGUCUGGGGGAGGCUUGGUCCAGCCUGGGGGGUCCCUGAGACUCUCCUGUGCAGCCUCCGGAUUCACCUUCAGCACAUAUAAUGCCUCCGGAUUCACCUUCAGCAGCUAUGCAAUGAACUGGGUCCGCCAGGCUCCAGGGAAGGGGCUGGAGUGGGUCUCAUACAUUAAUGGUAACGGUGGUAGCACAUACUACGCAGACGCCGUGAAGGGCCGAUUCACCAUCUCCAGAGACAACGGCAAGAACAGGCUGUCUCUGCAAAUGAACAGUCUGAGAGCCGAGGACACAGCCCUGUACUACUGUAAAAUGGAGGGUGUGGUCUCUGUGUCUAAAUCCCAGGACUCAGGCCCUUUACCUGGAGCUCAGGUGUGGCCCAGGCUGUGGCUCCUGUGGAACCUGGGAAAGAUUGAUGGGACUGUGUCACCCACCACUGCUGGGACCCUCCUGCUGUCACCUGGGCAUGGACUCACGUUGGAAAUGCAAGUGGCCAUUAGUAGCUGA